rnacentral:rRNA from 1 species
UCGAGAAUAUUUCGCAAUGGGCGAAAGCCUGACGAAGCGACGCCGUGUGGAUGAAGAAGGCCUUCGGGUUGUAAAAUCCUGUCAUUUGGGAGCAAAUAGCGAGAGUGAAUAAAAUUCGCUAAUGAGAGUACCAGAGAAGGAAGCACUGGCUAACUCCGUGCCAGCAGCUGCGGUAAUACGGAGGGUGCAAGCGUUAGUCGGAAUAACUGGGCGUAAAGGGUGCGUAGGCGGGCUUAUAAGUUAUGUGUGAAAUUACGGGGCUUAACCCUGUAGCUGCAUAUAAGACUGUAAGUCUAGAGGAAUGGUGGGGAAAGCGGAAUUCCACAUGUAGCGGUGAAAUGCGUAGAUAUGUGGAAGAACACCUGUGGCGAAAGCGGCUUUCUAACCUAAUCCAGACGCUGAGGCACGAAAGCAAGGGGAUCAAACA